rnacentral:rRNA from 1 species
UACGUAGGGGGCAAGCGUUGUCCGGAUUUAUUGGGCGUAAAGAGCGUGUAGGCGGCCAGGUAGGUCCGUUGUGAAAACUCGAGGCUUAACCUCGAGACGUCGAUGGAAACCAUCUGGCUAGAGUCCGGAAGAGGAGAGUGGAAUUCCUGGUGUAGCGGUGAAAUGCGCAGAUAUCAGGAAGAACACCCGUGGCGAAGGCGGCUCUCUGGGACGGUACUGACGCUGAGACGCGAAAGCGUGGGGAGCGGACAGG